UCCCUUGUGGCUCAGCUGGUAAAGAAUCAGCCUGCAAUGCUGGAGACCUGGGUUCAAUCCCUGGGUUGGGAA
rfam:TPA: Bos taurus chromosome 15, whole genome shotgun sequence.